AACGAACGCUGGCGGCAUGACUAACACAUGCAAGUCGAACGAGACCUUCGGGUCUAGUGGCGCACGGGUGCGUAACGCGUGGGAACCUGCCCUUAGGUUCGGAAUAACUCCCCGAAAGGGGUGCUAAUACCGGAUAAUGUCUUCGGACCAAAGAUUUAUCGCCUUUGGAUGGGCCCGCGUUGGAUUAGCUAGUUGGUAGGGUAAAAGCCUACCAAGGCGACGAUCCAUAGCUGGUCUGAGAGGAUGAUCAGCCACACUGGGACUGAGACACGGCCCAGACUCCUGCGGGAGGCAGCAGUGGGGAAUAUUGGACAAUGGGCGAAAGCCUGAUCCAGCAAUGCCGCGUGAGUGAUGAAGGCCUUAGGGUUGUAAAGCUCUUUUACCCGGGAUGAUAAUGACAGUACCGGGAGAAUAAGCUCCGGCUAACUCCGUG
rnacentral:rRNA from 1 species